rnacentral:rRNA from 1 species
GACGAACGCUGGCGGCGUGCCUAAUACAUGCAAGUUGAGCGCUGAAGGUUGGUACUUGUUCCAACUGGAUGAGCAGCGAACGGGUGAGUAACGCGUGGGGAAUCUGCCUUUGAGCGUGGGACAACAUUUGGAAACGAAUGCUAAUACCGCAUAAAAACUUUAAACACAAGUUUUAAGAUUGAAAGAUGCAAUUGCUUCACUCAAAGAUGAUCCCGCGUUGUAAUAGCUAGUUUGUGAAGUAAAGGCUCAACAAAGCGAGCAUACAGAGCCGAACUGGGAGGGGGGACGGCCAACAUGGGAAUGGGACACGGCCCAAGAUCCUAAGGGGAGGAGCAGUAGGGAAUCUUUGGCAAUGGAGGAAAGUCUUGCCGGGGAAAGCCGGGUGGGGGAAGAAGGUUUUCGGAUCGGAAAAAUCUGUUGGUAAGGAAGAACGUUAGGGGGAAUUGAAAGCUCAUGAAGUGACGGUAACUACUCAGAAAGGGACGGCUAACUACGUG